rnacentral:lncRNA from 1 species
GCGGAAGCUGAGGAGAACCCGGGCCCGGCGUGAGGGCUCGCGGGCCGCCGCGGUCAUUCGCUGUGCUCCGCUUCCAGCGAGGACAGUCUCCUCCUGCUGCUCGGACCGCCUCAGUCCUCAUCUUCCUCCUCAGUCCUACCACCCCCUCCAGCUCCUCAAAAGCACCCCCGACCCCCUAGCCCUUCACGCCCCACCCGCGGGAACCAGGCCUUGGAAAUUCGGGGGAGUGGCUGGCUGUAGGGGCGCGUCGCGGCUCCCAGCUCCGCCUGCCCCUCUUCCAGGACAUGGUCUGGUCCCCAUUGUAAAAGCUGCGCCCCGAAGAGGAGAGCGUUGUGUUCUCGGCGUGGGCUGCAGGGAUAUCUCCGGGCUGAAGCGCUUGCAUUAUUUUAGGGUGGGG